GACGAACGCUGGCGGCGUGCCUAAUACAUGCAAGUCGAGCGGACGAAUCGAAAGCUUGCUUUUGAUUCGUUAGCGGCGGACGGGUGAGUAACACGUGGGCAACCUGCCCUGUAGACGGGGAUAACACCGAGAAAUCGGUGCUAAUACCGGAUAACACGAAAUGUCGCAUGACGUUUCGUUGAAAGACGGCGCAAGCUGUCGCUACAGGAUGGGCCCGCGGCGCAUUAGCUAGUUGGUGAGGUAACGGCUCACCAAGGCGACGAUGCGUAGCCGACCUGAGAGGGUGAUCGGCCACACUGGGACUGAGACACGGCCCAGACUCCUACGGGAGGCAGCAGUAGGGAAUCUUCCGCAAUGGACGAAAGUCUGACGGAGCAACGCCGCGUGAGCGAAGAAGGCCUUCGGGUCGUAAAGCUCUGUUGUUAGGGAAGAACAAGUAACGCAGUAACUGGCGUUACCGUGACGGUACCUAACGAGAAAGCCACGGCUAACUACAUG
rnacentral:rRNA from 1 species